UCAGUUUCCAAGUAAAUCUCGGCUCUUCCAAGCGGUGUAAUGCUAGACUUUAUUUUAAUCUCCCUGGAACUGCAGGGUUGCUGCUGCGCCCGGCCAUUCCUCGGGAUUAGCCAGAUUUAUUUUUGCUGACGUUUCACCGAGCACCCUGGGUCGGGAGCGCCCGCUGCCGGGUGCUGUGCGGGGAGAGGCGGCUGGGUGCCCCCUGGCAGCUCCUAGAUCAGCACCCAGCCGCACCACAGCACCCGUUGUCUCCUCGCACAGGGGUCCCCGUACGCUGAGCACCUCCUGAAUGCCUGCUGUGGUUGGGCUGAGUGCUGGGAAAGAGAUGAGAUGGAGGUGAGGAGGUGAUGGUGGUGCCAUGCGCUGUGCCAGGGGUAAUUUUUCUGCACCGUGCUCUUUUCCUGCACUCGUGCUGGGUGUCAGGAGCCCAAGAAGGUCUAGAGCCAUAAGGGGAGGUCCUCUGCCUUGCUGUUAUGGCUCGUGGCUUGGCUCCUGCACCGGGAGCAGGGUUGGCCCCGCUGCUGUGGGCACCCAGGGGCAGCAGCAGCAGCUCCAGAAGCGCAGGCGAGCGCGUGGAGCCCGGGCAUCCAGCUGCGCAUCCUUCCUAUCAGCAGGUCAUUUUGUGCCUUGUUAUAAAGCCAACGAGACCUGUGGGAGAAGAAGAAAUAAAAAGCAAACACAUAGCACUGCUGAACACAUUACAUAGUGAGGCGUCAGAAAACUGGUGCCAGGAAGAAGAUUAAUGGAGCAGAGCUGCAAAAAUAAGAAAGAAAAUGAAAACUGGGUGAGAACAGAGCUGGUAAAAUGUUCUGCUGCUGCCAAAGUGCCUGCCCCCAAAUACACCGGGUCACCGCCACAGGCUGGAUGCUGCUGUUAAUGGAGGAAGCUCGACCCCCACUUCUUGCUGAUGUUCUGGGCAGCCUCUGACAUCAAUCUCAUUAACAGCAUUAAAUUAGGACAAAUGAAAGAUACUUUUCCCCUUACAAAAAAAAAAAAAAAAAAAAGCGAACUAGUGGCUUGGAAUGGGCUGGAGCAGCUAUCCAGAAGCAAAACAAAAGCUGCCUCUUUUUACAAGCUGCACACAUCCUCUGCUUCAGCUGGUUUGGGAACAAUGGGGCAAAUUUAUCGGGGGUGACUUUGCUGGAGAAGCCUUCAGCGUGUUGCUCCUUUUUGCUGAACUGGGUGGUGAUAAAUGGCGUUGGCUUUUUGCGUUGUAAUACCGAAGGAUGCUGUAGGACUUCAAGAAAUGUACACGUCAGCCAGCGAACCACUUGCUCUGCCGAAAUCCCCAUGAGCAAAAAGACGGAUUUGGGGGCACCGAUGUCGGCGCUCGCUGCACCCCCUCUGCGGCGCAGCCCAGCACCGCGGGGCGUGCUGCUUCCAGCCAGCCUGGGCUGAGCUCAUCAAUGUGCUAAAGUCAUUACGGGGGGAAUUGUGGGAAAUAUUGGUUUUUCAUUACAGCCGAGACUUUUUUUUUUUUUCGAACUCGUGGUGUUUGAGAAACAAGCUCCAUACAUCAUGCUGUGGUCCGGCCGCAGGACGGGUGCCAGCGCACGGGCACGCGCCCCGCUCUAACGGCCCAGGCACCCCGUGUGCCUGUUGGAGCUGACACAGCACAUCUUCAGCCCGGGGGGGCACGCAGAACCGUCCCACCAUCGUGACGAGGUGACAGUGAGCAAAGCCCAAUCCCUGCUUCUACAUCAGCAGCCCCCUGGGCUUUGCUGUUGCUCUCUGCUAUGGGGGCUGCUGCACGCCCAGAGCUGGGGCUGCUCCUGAAGGUCUGCAUGGGUUUUGCAUGAAGAUACGCAGAGUUUUGUCUCGGUGCUGCCUUCAAAUCUCUCUCCCUUCUCACCACGAUGCCUCUGUUUCUGUGACUGCACCAAAGCAGCAGCACUGCAGGCGUGGGAGCAGCAGCGUGCAGUCCCAAACACCCGGCAGCCGCUUUGCUCGGAGCAGAAACCCGGAUUGCUUUGCUUCUGGUAACGAUCAGCAAAAUAAAAACCUGAUUUUUCUACUGAGCCAGAGGAGCCUGGAAAGUGCUGAGGCACUUUAACAACAAGAAGUGUUGGGGCAGUUCCAGCAUUCCUCCUUGUAGCCAAAAAUAAAAUUAUAAACCCCGGCAGGGCUGCGUGUCCGAGGGCGCGCGGGAGCUGCGGCGCGGCACCGCUGGGGCACCGGGGGAAGCCCAAGCCCAGCUCCCCAGCCGGGUGUCCGAGGUCUGACAGCCCGGUGCAGGCGGUCCAAACCCCUUUCUCCUUAAAUGACAUGUUUAAGGGAAGGUCUCCUGCUGCUGGAGACGGGGCCAAACCCCUGGCUGCCGCCCAGCUCCGGCCCGGCCAGCGCCAGUAAGCGCGCGUUUUUGGCUCAUUACGCUGCAUUUUCACCCAGGGCAGUGCCAAACCACUCCUCCGUGAUGGGAAAGGCUCAGACUGUGCAAGCCUCUGCCCUGCUGGGUUGGGGGGGGCUUGGCCAGGCUGGGGGGCCAGCCAGGGCCUGGGGGAUGCCAGUUGGGGUCAGCCACCCUUGUCGUCACUGCCACGGUGCCAAUGAGGUUUGCGUGUGGGGCUGUCACUGCAUGAGCUGUGACGUUACAGGAGCCUGGUUCCUUCCCACCUGGAGCAUGAACCAGACCAAAAACCUCCAAACAAGCGGAGCUGCAGCUGCUCGGGCAGCUCCCACAGUUCUCUGGCUGGAUCCAGGUAACUGCAGGACCCCCGCCGUGCCCGGCGCAGCCCCACGGGAAGGCGCAGCCAUCAAUUUGGUGCGGAUCUGCCGGGGCUCCCCGUGACCCCAACGUGUGUCUGCUUCCUCCUGCCUCCGACACGACUACUGCUGCCGCACGCUGACAAGCUGCGGGAGGGGAGAAACAUCUGGCUGCGCUCAGCGCCUCGGCCCGGAUGUAUAGAACAUGGGAUCCCCGCUCCAGCUGCACUUCAGCACUCCUGCGCUCGUUCCCUUCCCAGCCUCGCAGCCCUCCAGAAAACAGCAAAAAAAUAAUAAUAAUAAAAUAAGGUGAUUUAAUGCCCCGAAAGCUGCAGCCUGAGAGGCGGCUGCGGUGCACGGCACAGAGUGGCUGGAGCAAAUAUGGGCUCAGAAAACGGGGAUUAGGAGCACAUAACCCUGCUCUCCGUGCGUUUCUGGGGUUGAAUCAGCUUUCCAGCUCCUCCAGCCGUGGGCCAUGGGACAGGCGGGUGGCCGGGAUGCCGAUGGCUUCAUUCACAGCCCUGCCGUGUGCCGGACACAGGGGGCUGGUGGGGAAGCCCCCUCUAAUCAGGGCCAGCUCCCCGUUAGCGCUAUGGAAGAGAGGCCCCUCCUAAAUCAACUCCGCAUUCCCCUUCCUGGGCUCCUCAGGAAUGAGAAAAAUUUUCCUGGGAAAACUGAUUACAGAAAGCUGACAUCUGGGAUACACCCCUGGGAUAAAAUAAAGAAAGGUGGGGCGGCGUGGAAGGGACGGGCUGGUGAAUCACCGACCAUGCGUCGGUCACCAAGAAAAACCUUUUUGAAUAGAAACCACCCUAAAAUCCAGCAAGUUGACACAGCCCCCCAGCAGCACCCUGCUCCCUGCUGGGGUCCCAGCAAUGCCCCCACCCUGUUCACCAGGAGAGCCCUGGUUUUUGAGGUCCUCUCUGUGCCCAGCGCUCACCAAACCCUGCCAAAUCCCUGCCACCACCAAAUGAAAACGCAGUUUUGCCUCGCCACCUUAAGGGAGGCGAUGCAGACGUUGGGGAGAGGUGCAUCAGGAGUCAUUUCUGCAGAGGCCAUAAAGUUACACGUGUGGGGAAACAAGAUCAAAGGCAGGAGCGUGGUUUCCAAGCAGAGGCUUUAAUCCCAACCUGGGAAUCGCGCCCUGAGCCCCGCUCACGUGCAGCGCGCCUGAAGCCAGCUCAAAACACCGAGAUCCCAGAGUGCCGGGCACCAACCCAUUCCCAAGGGGGUGCACAGCCCCAGGGGACACCCAGCUGAAUGCUGCUCCUGAAGCCAGAAGCAGCCCCCAGAUGGCCUUCAGCACCUCCUUGUUCCCAGUAUUUGCCCUGUGGGGCACCGUGGCUCCGACUUGAGGCUCUUCAAUUCCUCAAGGCUCCCCCCGAACCAUUGCACAAAUGGGCAAGAUGGAAAAAGUCCUCAAAGCACGAGCCCACACCAAAUCCAGCACUGGGGGGCUUUUCAUCCCAUGCCCCCGCAGCAGUUCUGGAUGGGAAGAGCUGUUACCAUCAGAGGAGCAUCCCCAAGCUACCAGCAGCACCAGCGCCUCCUGACGAAGCACCAAGACGCUUUCCCAACCCCUCAGACGCAGGCAGCAAUAUUUUCAGAGCCCUUGCUCUCCUAAUUGUCUCUCCGCUCUGUUUUCUAAUCUGAGAUGUCUUAACACAAACAAUUAUAGCCGAGUAACUGAUUAAUCAUUCAAAUGAAAUUGAAAUUGAGUAAGUGAUUUAAUAUAUUUAGAUAACGCACAUGUGCAACAGAAAAAAAAAA